UACGUAGGGGGCAAGCGUUGUCCGGAUUUAUUGGGCGUAAAGAGCUCGUAGGCGGUUUGGUAAGUCUGGUGUGAAAUCUCCACGCUCAACGUGGAGGGGCCACCCGAUACUGCCAUGACUGGAGUCCGGUAGAGGAGUGUGGAAUUCCCGGUGUAGCGGUGAAAUGCGUAGAGAUCCGGAAGAACACCGGUGGCGAAGGCGGUCUGCUGGGGUAAUGCUGACACUGAUGCGCGACAGCGUGGGGAGCAAACAGG
rnacentral:rRNA from 1 species